UUGGAGGGCAAGUCUGGUGCCAGCAGCCGCGGUAAUUCCAGCUCCAAUAGCGUAUAUUAAAGUUGUUGCAGUUAAAAAGCUCGUAGUUGAAUUUCGGGAUCAAUGUUUCGGUCAUGCCGUUGGUAUGUACUGAUAUUAUUGGUUUCUCACCUUCUAAAGAACCGUAAUGCCAUUAAUUUGGUGUCACGGGGAAUUAGGACUGUUACCUUGAAAAAAUUAGAGUGUUUAAAGCAGGCUCACGCUUGAAUACAUUAGCAUGGAAUAAUGAAAUAGGACAUCCGAUUCUAUUUUGUUGGUUUCUAGGAUCGAUGUAAUGAUUAAUAGGGAUAGUUGGGGGCAUUAGUAUUCAAUUGUCAGAGGUGAAAUUCAUGGAUUUAUUGAAGACUAACUACUGCGAAAGCAUUUGCCAAGGAUGUUUUCAUUAAUCAAGAACGAAAGUUAGGGGAUCGAAGACGAUCAGAUACCGUCGUAGUCUUAACCAUAAACUAUGCCGACUAGGGAUCGGAUGAUGUUAAUUUUUUAAUGACUCAUUCGGCGCCUUACGGGAAACCAAAGUGUUUGGGUUC
rnacentral:rRNA from 1 species